rfam:Myotis davidii contig171310, whole genome shotgun sequence.
GGAUGUGAGGGCGAUCUGGCUGCGACAUCUGUCACCCCAUUGAUCGCCAGGGUUGAUUCGGCUGAUCUGGCUGGCUAGGUGGGUGUCCCCCUCCUCCCUCACCGAUCCACGUGCAUCCCUCCGGAAGCUGCGCGCUCAGUCGAGGAGUACGACCUUCCCCCGCCCAGGAGAGGACCGGUCUUAGGUCAAGGGUAUACGAGUAGCUGCGCUCUUCUGCUAGAACCUCCAAACAAGCUCUCAAGAGAAAUUUUAAAAAUAUUUUGAACAAAAUGAAAAUAAAAAUACAACUUAACAUAGUU